AACAAUACGGUGCAUUUCUUUAUAAUGGCCGACCCUAAAUGAGUGGUUGAGCGGCCGAACUGCCACUGCCAUAGCUCCCUGAAGCCAGCCGAAGUUCAGGGGCCGUCAGCCAGGGAAAGCAGAUAAGGCAGAGAUACUGGGACUGGUCAGAUAGUGAAUUUGAAUGGCAGGUGUCAUAGUGCUUUGUACCAUGAAAAUUAAAAAAAACACUAAGAAGAUAUUUUCUUUUAAAAUUCUUUGCUGAGUUAUAUUCAGG